CCUACGGGAGGCAGCAGUGGGGAAUUUUGGACAAUGGGCGCAAGCCUGAUCCAGCCAUGCCGCGUGUGUGAAGAAGGCCUUCGGGUUGUAAAGCACUUUCGGCCGGAACGAAAUCGCGCGGGCUAUUACCCCGCGUGGAUGACGGUACCGGAAGAAGAAGCACCGGCUAACUACGUGCCAGCAGCCGCGGUAAUACGUAGGGUGCGAGCGUUAAUCGGAAUUACUGGGCGUAAAGGGUGCGCAGGCGGCGUCGCAAGUCAGGCGUGAAAUCCCCGGGCUUAGCCUGGGAAUUGCACUUGAAACUACGAUGCUGGAGUAUGGCAGAGGGAGGUGGAAUUCCACGUGUAGCGGUGAAAUGCGUAGAGAUGUGGAGGAACACCGAUGGCGAAGGCAGCCUCCUGGGCCAAUACUGACGCUCAUGCACGAAAGCGUGGGGAGCAAACAGGAUUAGAUACCCUGGUAGUCCACGCCCUAAACGAUGAUGACUAGUUGUUGGAGGAGUUAAAUCCUUUAGUAACGCAGCUAACGCGAGAAGUCAUCCGCCUGGGGAGUACGGUCGCAAGAUUAAAACUCAAAGGAAUUGACGG
rnacentral:rRNA from 1 species